rnacentral:rRNA from 1 species
UACGUAGGAGGCAAGCGUUGUCCGGAAUUACUGGGUGUAAAGCGCGUGUAGGCGGCAGGCCAAGUCUGUGGUGAAAUCGCUCGGCUCAACUGGGCGGGGUCCAUGGAAACUGGUCAGCUGGAGGACGGUAGAGGUGAGUGGAAUUCCCGGUGUAGUGGUGAAAUGCGUAGAGAUCGGGAGGAACACCCGUGGCGAAGGCGGCUCACUGGGCCGGUCCUGACGCUGAGACGCGAAAGCGUGGGGAGCGAACAGG